CUUUGUCAUGCUUUAGAUAUUCGUCCUGUCGAAUUAUUCGAAACUUCGAAUACUAGCUAUUCGAAAGUUGAAUCGACUUAUUCGAUUAAGUACUAUUCGAUUCGAAUUUGACACUCGAAUAUUCGCACACCCCUAAGCAGACGUCAACUUGAG
rnacentral:lncRNA from 1 species